GCAAGGGGAGCGGCAGACGGGAGAGUAACACGUGGGAACGUACCCUUCAGUUCGGAACAACCCAGGGAAACUUGGGCUAAUACCGAAUACGUCCGUAAGGAGAAAGAUUUAUCGCUGAAGGAUCGGCCCGCGUCUGAUUAGCUUGUUGGUGAGGUAACGGCUCACCAAGGCGACGAUCAGUAGCUGGUCUGAGAGGAUGAUCAGCCUCACUGGGACUGAGACACGGCCCAGACUCCUACGGGAGGCAGCAGUGGGGAAUAUUGGACAAUGGGCGCAAGCCUGAUCCAGCCAUGCCGCGUGGAUGAUGAAGGCCCUAGGG
rnacentral:rRNA from 1 species